AUCUACGACCAUACCACCUGACCACACCCAGUCUUGGAAGUUAAGCAGAGUCAAGUCUGGGGAGUACUUGGAUGGGACAACCACCUGGGCCACAAGGAGGCAAAAAUA
rnacentral:rRNA from 1 species